CCCCUCUCGGGGUCGCACCUGAAGAGUUUCCAGUACUCUACCAGUCUCGAUUAUGGGAGGGAGAGUCAAACAGACGUCUACCCAUUCCAUUCCUAGCUUGGGCAGUGGCAAGUGAGUGGAAGGCAAUCUGCUACAAGU